GCGCUCCCACCCACCGGAGGUCUCGUCCACUUGAUAACGUUGUUAUUACAAUAUUACGUUUGUAGCAACACGAACGCAUUUUUCACGAUGUGGUAUUACUAGGUAUGACAUGAGGCAGGGUAUGGAACCAAUUAUUACAUGGAAAAUAUGAAAGUAAAAUAGAAGAGGAUGAUGAAGCUUUUAAUAGUUUGUUACAAAAAUAUAAUCAAUUUGUAUAAUAAAUAUAUUAAUUUUUU